rnacentral:lncRNA from 1 species
CUUGUCCAAAGUCAAACAACUAAAGGAGGAAGAAUUAGGAUUCAUUCUCAAAGAUUUUUGCUUCUAAAUUCUGCUUCCUAUUCAUUUUACUGAAAAAAACAAAAAACAAAAAACAAAACCUGGCUAUGGCUAGUCUUUCUGCAAGCCAUGUUAUUUAAUUUUCUGUGUCUAAAGAAUUCCCUCCUCCCUUCUGGGUAAAACUUAAAAUUGAAUCUGUGCCUUAUUCCUUUUCUGUCUUUAGUUUCGAGGGAGUCCUUAUUUCAGUCAUGCUCAGUGACCACUUCAAACAGCUGUUCUACCUAUGAGUUUUAACUAAAGUUGCUUCUGGGGCAGGAAUUGCUUCUCAGCAUGGAGCUUCACAUGUGAGAACUUGAGGAAGAGACAUAUGCUCUGUUGUUAGCUCUUCCCUAACUUUCAGAAGAAACUGGGCACUUCAAGAUGGAAGUCUACUAGAAUAUGAAUUCAUUAUACCAGUUUUCAGAAGACAUGUCUAUCAAUUACUUAAGUGAAGUUACUGAAAUCCUUUGAAAAAUUCUGAAGAUAGAGAUUUUCAAUAUGAAAAAAGAUCUCACUGUUUCUAAGGCCCUUACAUUCUACUGAAAAUAUAUGGCAUAUACAAAGAGUUCUGAGAGGAGACGAGAGCAGAGAUUAAACUACUCCUUCAGAAGUUCAUUGGUUUUGUUGGUUGGAUGUUUUUAAGGUAACCAUGAUUGUUAAGGAAAUGCUUUUUUUCAGCAUAGUAUCUUACAGAAAUUUAUAUGCCUCAUAAAAUAGACUAAAAUUGCUCAUCAAAAUACUUUUGAAUUAGAGAUAUGAGACUUUUGGUACAUUCAUUUAUUCAAUUAUGGAUUAAGCCUUAGAUUUUUAGAGAUACAAAGACAAAAAUCAACAGUCUGUGCCUUCAAGGAUCUUAUACUACUGGGAGCUACAUGUACACAAGUAAAGUAAGUAAAAAAGUAUUAGUAGACAUUAGACUUCUGAUUUCUUUGGAACAUGGAACUUCUUUAUGAAGAAACUUUGACAAUGCAGUUCAACAUCUUCUCUGCAAUGUAAAACCUUAGAGAUUUACCUAGAACAAUGAAAGGUUAAGUAACUUUCAGUCACAGCCAGGAUGUAUUAGAUGCAGGGUAUGAGUUCACAUUUUCUUGAUUUUGUGAAUGGAUUUCUAGACACUAGUGUAUGUAUAGUAUAUAGUAGUAUGCUAUGAUAUAAAAGUCCUAGCUCAUCUUGAUAUGUAAUAUUCAUUUUGUAAAAUAUUUUAUUUUCUCACAUGAG